UGAACGCUAGCGGCAGGCUUAACACAUGCAAGUCGAGGGGCAGCGAGGGUAGCAAUACCCGUCGGCGACCGGCGCAAGGGUGCGUAACGCGUGAGCAACAUGCCCGUAUCAGGGGAAUAAUCCAGGGAAACUUGGUCUAAUACCCCAUAGUAAAUAUUAAAGGCAUCUUUAAUAUUUUAAAGCUUUGGUGGAUACGGAUUGGCUCGCGUGACAUUAGCUAGAUGGUAAGGUAACGGCUUACCAUGGCUACGAUGUCUAGGGGUUCUGAGAGGAAGAUCCCCCACACUGGAACUGAGACACGGUCCAGACUCCUACGGGAGGCAGCAGUGAGGAAUAUUGGACAAUGGAUGGAAAUCUGAUCCAGCCAUGCCGCGUGCAGGAAGACGGCCCUAUGGGUUGUAAACUGCUUUUAUAUGGGAGCAAUAAGACCUACGUGUAGGUUGAUGAGAGUACCAUAUGAAUAAGCACCGGCUAACUCCGUGCCAGCAGCCGCGGUAAUACGGAGGGUGCAAGCGUUAUCCGGAUUUAUUGGGUUUAAAGGGUGCGUAGGCGGUUUUUUAAGUCAGCGGUGAAAGUUUUCAGCUUAACUGGAAAAAUGCCGUUGAUACUGAUAGGCUAGAAUAUGGUUGCUGUGGGUGGAAUGUGUGGUGUAGCGGUGAAAUGCUUAGAUAUUACACAGAACACCGAUUGCGAAGGCAGCUUACUAAACUGAUACUGACGCUGAGGCACGAAAGCGUGGGGAUCAAACAGGAUUAGAUACCCUGGUAGUCCACGCCGUAAACGAUGAUCACUCGCUGUUGGCGAUACAUUGCCAGUGACUGAGCGAAAGCAUUAAGUAAUCCACCUGGGGAGUACGUUCGCAAGAAUGAAACUCAAAGGAAUUGACGGGGGCCCGCACAAGCGGAGGAGCAUGUGGUUUAAUUCGAUGAUACGCGAGGAACCUUACCUGGGCUCGAACGUAUAGGGAAUUAUGCCGAAAGGUAUAAGCCAGCAAUGGCCGUAUACGAGGUGCUGCAUGGUUGUCGUCAGCUCGUGCCGUGAGGUGUUAGGUUAAGUCCUGCAACGAGCGCAACCCUUACCUUUAGUUGCCAGCAUGUAAUGAUGGGGACUCUAAAGGAACUGCCUACGCAAGUAGUGAGGAAGGUGGGGAUGACGUCAAAUCAGCACGGCCCUUAUGUCCAGGGCGACACACGUGCUACAAUGGCCGGUACAGAGGGAUGCAACAACGUAAGUUGAAGCGGAUCUUUAAAAUCGGUCUCAGUUCGGAUCGGGGUCUGCAACUCGACUCCGUGAAGUCGGAUUCGCUAGUAAUCGCGCAUCAGCCAUGGCGCGGUGAAUACGUUCCCGGGCCU
rnacentral:rRNA from 1 species